ensembl:lncRNA novel transcript, antisense to TUBA1C
CAAUUUACGGCAAUAGACAUUUACAGAACAAAAAUAAGACAGUUCCAAGACAAAGGAGUGUAAAAGUACAGCACACAGGUUAAUACUCUUCACCCUCAUCCUCUCCGUCAGCACUAUCUGCUCCAACCUCCUCAUAAUCCUUCUCAAGGGCAGCCAUGUCCUCACGGGCCUCUGAAAACUCGCCUUCCUCCAUCCCCUCACCCACGUACCAGUGAACAAAGGCACGCUUGGCAUACAUCAGGUCAAACUUGUGGUCCAGGCGAGCCCAGGCCUCGGCAACAGCUGUGGUAUUGCUCAGCAUGCACACAGCUCUCUGUACCUUGGCCAGGUCUCCGCCAGGCACCACAGUGGGAGGCUGGUAAUUAAUGCCAACCUUGAAGCCAGUGGGGCACCAAUCCACAAACUGGAUGGUACGCUUGGUUUUGAUGGUGGCAAUGGCAGCAUUGACAUCUUUGGGAACCACGUCACCACGGUAUAACAGGCAGCAAGCCAUGUAUUUACCAUGGCGAGGGUCACAUUUCACCAUCUGGUUGGCUGGCUCAAAGCAAGCAUUGGUGAUCUCUGCUACAGUAAGCUGUUCGUGGUAGGCUUUCUCAGCAGAGAUGACAGGGGCAUAUGUGGCCAGAGGGAAGUGGAUGGAACCCCACUCACCAUGACUAGAACUUGAAGGGGUCUGCGGC